rnacentral:rRNA from 1 species
AACGUAGGGGACGAGCGUUAUCCGGAUUUACUGGGCGUAAAGCGCAUGUAGGUGGCUUGAAAAGUUGGACGUGAAAGCUCCUGGCUUAACUGGGAGAGGUCGUACAAAACUAGCAAGCUUGAGGUUGGAAGAGGAGAGCAGAAUUCCAGGUGUAGCGGUGAAAUGCGUAGAUAUCUGGAGGAACACCGGUGGCGAAGGCGGCGUUCUGGACUGCAACUGACACUGAGAGACGAAAGCCAGGGGAGCAAACGGG